rnacentral:lncRNA from 1 species
GAAAAAUAUAAUUAGUAAUGCAUGACUUUUAUACACUGUUUUUCAUGUGGCAGGUUUUACAAAGGAAGCAGACACAGAGAUAAAAAAUUCAUGGUUGAGGGCAGAAAUGGAAGAGCUCACAUCUCCACUUUCUCAGUCUGAUACAAUAUCCACAGGAGCUUGCUGCCUGACAAAUCAGUUAGAGAAUGGUGGAGCCCAGAAGCCCCAGCCAAAAACUGGAAUCUAUUUUCUUCUGUGGUACAAUGUAAACAGCUUGCAUACCGGAAAAAAAAAAAGAGAACAAUAUUUGUGAAAGCUCUGAUCCUGUUUAUACAUAUACAUAUACUGCCAGAGGAGAUAACACUCUUCUGAUAAAAGGCCUGCAUUUUGCAUCUCUUUAUUUGAUCACAUUCUCCAGGGGUAAGUGUUUCUUCUUCACCUAACACAUGCUGCUUCUUUGUGAAUGAGAAGAGGACAGAAAAGUAGCAAGGAAGAAAUACACAGAAAACAGGCCUCAGAGAGCUACAGACAACUUUCCAAGGAGGGUUCUGAGAGAGAGGUGCAGGGGACUGCAAGUCUUCAAAGCCCAUGGUCUGUGGUCCAAGAGCCAAAAACAGUCACAAACUUUUCAACCGUUUGGAUGAAAAACUACAGCUCAUCUUGCUACUGCUUAUUCUUCAACAGUUUACUUUCUUAUCUUCAUUAGUCUCCCUGCCCCAGUGGGAAGUCACUUCAUUCAGCCAAUGAGGUAAAUUUUGUGGGUGAUUGCACAGAAUGAUUAUAAUGAAUGGUGUUAGUAUUAAACAGUGU